rnacentral:rRNA from 1 species
UGGGGAAUAUUGCGCAAUGGGCGGAAGCCUGACGCAGCGACGCCGCGUGGGGGAUGACGGCCUUCGGGUUGUAAACCUCUUUCAGCAGGGACGAAGUUGACGUGUACCUGUAGAAGAAGCGCCGGCUAACUACGUGCCAGCAGCCGCGGUAAUACGUAGGGCGCAAGCGUUGUCCGGAAUUAUUGGGCGUAAAGAGCUCGUAGGUGGCCUGUUGCGUCUGCCGUGAAAGCCCGUGGCUUAACUGCGGGUCUGCGGUGGAUACGGGCAGGCUAGAGGCUGGUAGGGGCAAGCGGAAUUCCUGGUGUAGCGGUGAAAUGCGCAGAUAUCAGGAGGAACACCGGUGGCGAAGGCGGCUUGCUGGGCCAGUUCUGACGCUGAGGAGCGAAAGCGUGGGGAGCGAACAG